GUGUCAGCCGCCGCGGUAACACGGGGGGAGCAAGCGUUGUUCGGAAUCACUGGGCGUAAAGGGCGUGUAGGCGGUCAGGUAAGUGUGAUGUGAAAUCCCUCGGCUCACCCGAGGACCGGCAUCGCAUACUGCUUGGCUUGAGUACGGGAGAGGAUGUGGGAAUUCCUGGUGUAGCGGUGAAAUGCGUAGAUAUCAGGAGGAACACCGGUGGCGAAGGCGCACAUCUGGCCCGAUACUGACGCUGAGGCGCGAAAGCUAGGGGAGCAAACGGGAUUAGAUACCCCUGUAGUCC
rnacentral:rRNA from 1 species